rnacentral:rRNA from 1 species
AGUGAACGCUGGCGGUAGGCCUAACACAUGCAAGUCGAACGGCAGCACAGUAAGAGCUUGCUCUUACGGGUGGCGAGUGGGGGACGGGUGAGGAAUACAUCGGAAUCUACUUUUUCGUGGGGGAUAACGUAGGGAAACUUACGCUAAUACCGCAUACGACCUACGGGUGAAAGCAGGGGAUCUUCGGACCUUGCGCGAUUGAAUGAGCCGAUGUCGGAUUAGCUAGUUGGCGGGGUAAAGGCCCACCAAGGCGACGAUCCGUAGCUGGUCUGAGAGGAUGAUCACCCCCACUGGAACUGAGCCACGUCCCAGACUCCUACGGAAGGCACCAUGGGGGAAUAUUGGCCAAUGGGGGCAACCCUGACCCAGCCAUCCCGCGUGGGUGAAGAAGCCCUUCGGGUUGUAAAGCCCUUUUUUUGGGAAAAAAAGGCAGCAGUUUAAUCCCCGGCUGUUUGGACGUUACCCAAAGAAUAAGCCCCGCCUACCUCCUG